rnacentral:tmRNA from 1 species
GCUUUCCUCGUUAAUCCAGCUGCAAAAACUCAGACGCCAACGACGACGUCUACGCUCUGGCCGCUUAAGGCCUAGCCCCGAACCCGCUUGUGCCCGUGCUCGCGGAUGUAGGGUCAUGAUCACGGGAUAGGAACCGGUGGCGACCCGUCAGCAGGUUCCGAAAUCAAAGCGGGUGUGGAUGAUGGUGUGCCUCGCACGGUGUGUUGCCAUCCUCCGAGACCAAACACCGAGCUAAGCAUGUAGUGCCGGGCAUGGAGUGCCUUCGGACGCGGGUUCGAUUCCCGCCAUCUCCACCA